AACGCGAAGAACCUUACCUGGGCUUGACAUGCUAGGAUUAUCCCGGUGAAAGCCGGGUAGGCCCCGCAAGGGGAACAACUAGUACAGGUGCUGCAUGGCUGUCGUCAGCUCGUGUCGUGAGAUGUCGGGUUAAGUCCCUUAACGAGCGAAACCUUUGCCCUUAGUUACCAGCGGGUUAUGCCGGGGACUCUAAGGGGACUGCCGGUGUCAAACCGGAGGAAGGUGGAGAUGACGUCAAGUCCUCAUGGCCUUUAUGCCCAGGGCCACACACGUGCUACAAUGGGGUGCACAGAGCGAACCUAGAGCGCAAGCUGGAGGAAAUCGCAGAAAUCACCCCCCAGUUCAGAUUGGAGGCUGCAACCCGCCUCCAUGAAGUUGGAAUCGCUAGUAAUCGCGGAUCAGCUACGCCGCGGUGAAUGUGUUCCCGGGCCUUGUACACACCGCACGA
rnacentral:rRNA from 1 species